rnacentral:rRNA from 1 species
AAAUGAAUUGACGGGGAGACAUACAACGAGUGACGCGUGCGGUUUAAUUAGAUUCUACACCGUGAACCUCACCAGGAGCGACAGCAGGAUGAAGGUCAGUCUAAAGGGCUUACCUGACACGCUGAGCGGAGAUGCAUGGCCAACGUCAGCCUGUGUUGUGAAAUGACCUGUUAAAUCAGGUAACAGGCGAGACCCGUGUUAAUAAUUACUACAGAAAUGGGUACAUUAUUGAGACUGCCUUGGUAACAAGGAGGAAGGUGCGGGCUACGUUAGGUGAGUACGUCCCUAAUCCCCUGGGCUACACGCGCGCGGCAAUGGUAUGUUCAAUGAGAUGCAACUCUGAGAAGAGAAGCUAAUCCCCUAAAACUUAUCUCAGUUCAGAUCGAGGGUUGCAACCCACCCUCGUGACGCUGGAAUUCGUAGUAAUCGGAUUUUAGCAUAGUCCGGUGAAUAUGUCCCUGUCUCUUGCACACACCGCCCGU